UACGUAGGGUGCAAGCGUUGUCCGGAAUUAUUGGGCGUAAAGAGCGUGUAGGCGGCCCGAUUAGUCCGCUGUGAAAGUCCGGGGCUCAACUCCGGAUCUGCGGUGGGUACGGGCAGACUAGAGUGAUGUAGGGGAGACUGGAAUUCCUGGUGUAGCGGUGAAAUGCGCAGAUAUCAGGAGGAACACCGAUGGCGAAGGCAGGUCUCUGGGCAUUAACUGACGCUGAGGAGCGAAAGCAUGGGGAGCGAACAGG
rnacentral:rRNA from 1 species